rnacentral:rRNA from 1 species
GUUUAUCAAAAACAUGUCUUUUAGAAUUUAAUUUAAAGUCUAACCUGCCCACUGAAUAUUUUGAAUGGCCGCAGUAUCCUAACUGUGCAAAGGUAGCAUAAUCAUUAGUCUUUUAAUUGAAGGCUGGAAUGAAUGGUUGAAUGAAAUAUUAACUGUUUCAUAAAAAUUUAUAAUAGAAUUUUAUUUUUUAGUUAAAAAGCUAAAAUUUUAUUAAAAGACGAGAAGACCCUAUAAAUCUUUAUAUUUUAUUGGGGUGAUAUUAAAAUUUAAUAAACUUUUAAUUUAUACUUUACAUAAAUUAAUGAAUUAUUGAUCCGUUAUUUACGAUUAAAAAAUUAAGUUACUUUAGGGAUAACAGCGUAAUUUUUUUAAAGAGUUCAUAUUGAUAAAAAAGAUUGCGACCUCGAUGU